AGCGUCUUGAAUGCUUGUCGGAUUUCUGCCUGCUAGCCCGCCAAUUAAAGUAGAUUAAGACAGGGAGAAGUUGAGAUUUAACGGCACUUUCCCCCGCCUGGGUCAGGAGCUGCGCAGGCAGUCCCUCCAGAAGUGACAGUUAUUGAUUAAACUAAACAUGAGCGAAAGAAAGAAAGAAAGAAAGAAAGAAAGAAAGAAAGAAAGAAAGAACAAAACAAGCCUGCUUCCCAGAUGUGUGAUAAUGAAAAGGCACAGGAUAAACUGUUCGUUCUUAUUAGGGGCAAAGAGCAGAGGGUUGAGGGGAAACCAUUCCAAGACAAAUAGUCCCGUUUAAGACACUAAUGAGCGGGCCUUUGGCUUGUCAUGUGACGCUUGCUAUUUUUGGAAGUGAAGAGGAGUUUAGCGGAGAAUGUUGAAUAGAUUAAGGAAAUAGUUCGUAUUUCUCCUUGAAUAGCUGGCAGCAAGAGGCAUUGCCCCGAUCCAGCUGAAGUUAACCCUGUCCCAUUGAAAUGAUCCGGAGCUGAACGCAGCUAGCUUCAGCUGGAUCUGGGCCUGUUUGGAGGUCCGAAAAAACUCCGAUUCAAAGGGAAAAGUCGGUGCUGUGAACACGAGGGCUGCAGUUCUGUGCGUGCUUACUUGGGAGUCUUGCUGCAAAGAAUUUUGCAUUUCCUUCCUGGAGGAAAUCAAGUCAGUCCUGUAAUAUGGCUCAGCAAAGAAUUAAACGUUUUCUUCCUAUUCUUCCAAUCUGCUGAGAAAGUCUCUUGAGAGAUGGAGAAAGGACAGCACCAUCAAGGAAGCAUGAACAGUGCACUACACAUCCUGGUGACAUCAGCUCAUGGCAGAAGUGAUCACUGGCAAGUUCUCACCUUGAAAAAACUGUUUUUUCCCUCAGACAUUUGUGUGAUAAAAAGAUAAUCACUAAUACACAAUAAUGAUUAAUACAUGAUCUAUGUGAGAUGGGGACAUUUUAACAUUUAAGUUUCUCAUCCAGCAUUAGUUAAUGAAUUAUUUUUUACUAAAUGUAUGCAGGUAUAUGCUGGGCACAAAUUAAAAAAAAAUGGAGGAUAACAAGUUGUUAAAACUCACAUACUACAAUUUGGUGAAUGCACUGUACUCCUAAGGAAGUCCUACUGUGUCUGCAAGUUGGUUAUAGCUAGCUACUAAUUUUAAUCGCAGAUAUUUUUUUUAACACGCAUUGAAAAUAUGGUUGAAAAAGGCAAUCAUCUCAUCGUAUCCUAUAGGCAAAUAGGAUACAGAUAAAAUGAAUAGAUAGCAUGAUAGAUCUGGGGUAUUUAGGUGAUUUACCCAACUUUUUUCAUAGAAGUAUUCCAAAUUAUAAUUAAUAACUUCCAGAAAAGAGGGCUAAGAGAAGCAGAAUAUAGAGAAAUAUUUUUUUCUGAAGCAAUAAUAAAUAGCAGCAUCAUGCACUUUAUCAUCAUCAUCUUCUUCUUCUUGUAAACCCUAAUUAACAAUGACACAAAAAUAGGCUUAGUAUAUCCUGCCAGUGCUAAUUCAGUGCUUCAGUAGAACCCGCACCCUCCCUUUUUUCCCUGAUACAUCAUAAUGCUGGGCAUUGAUUACUACUUUUUAUACUAUCCAGUGAGGCCAGCAUAGAGAAAGUCCCACUUGAGUCUCAGGGAAAUGACGUAGGUUAACCAAGGAAGCAAUCUUUUGGCUUCCUGACAUUAUCUUGUCACACAGUGUCCCCUCCCCACCCUCUCAGUUGGUAUACUGCACGGGGGACUCUCUGGCUUUAUAUAUCAGCCCCAAAGAGGAAGCAAAGGGACAUGCCUGGGAAAUGGGGAGUGUAUGAGGCUGAAGUGAAUGGCAUAUGUCAUUUCCAAACAGGUCCCCAGCACCUUCAGCAUCGGUGGCACUUCACCGAGAUCCCUGAAAAUGGUACAAACCCAUGAUUUUUUAGAUAGAAAAAAGGUCUACAAUUCUAGUAUUCUCCAGCCUAAGAACAAUCUCUAUUCCAAAGCAUUUUUAGAAAUAUUUCAAGUAUAGUCACCAAAUAAUUAAGCUGGAGUAUCUGGAUUUCAGCCAAUUUAUUCCUUUUUACUGAACAGUACUCAAGUAAUUUGGAUUCAAUGACUGGAUGGCCAAUUGGACAUGUGUUAAGUAAAACUUCUAUAUACAUACAGAAAUUCCACUUUACAGUACUGAGAGUGAACACUUCAAUUAACUUGAGAAAUGCUCUAUUUAAUGCUUUAUUGCAAACUUCCCACAUUAUUUAUUCCAACAUAUUUUAAAGAAAAAAAUCUGAUACCCUCUACUUCAAUACACUACUGCACUACUGAUUUCUCAUGUUUUCCUCAUAACUAUUUCCAUAAGUUUUCACAGCACAUCUGAAUGCAAGGUCUGGCUCACCCAUCAGUCCUGCAGGUAAGUAGUACUUAUGGUAAAAUGCUGGCAUAAACCUUGGGUUCACACAGCCCUCCCACCAGGAUGUAAAAUGCCCCAUGUUAUGCGGGGACAAAUGUAUGGCUCAUUGGUGCUCUCUUCUUUUUUUGGUUAUAGAUUGCCACACAUUCAUUUAAUUCAUUGACAUGCAGUACCUCUCUGACAUGGACUGAUUUGAAAACAAGCAGUGAAUGUUACUGUACAGAGUUGCCCUUUUUAUAGCCAUAAAACUUCAUCAUCACAUUUCAUUACAUUUAUAUCCCACUUUUUUCCUCUUGUGAGGAACCCAAGGUGGUUUACAUAGCUCCAUUUUAUCUUCACAACAGCCUUGUAAGGUAGGUUAGGCUAUGAGUGAGUGACUGCCCCAGUGUCACCCAGCGAGCUAGAAUCCAGGCCGCCCAGGUCCCCACCUCACUGGCUCUAUGUUUAUCAUUAUCUCUCAUUUGCUGGCUCUCAUUAUCAGUGAUGCAAAAGAGGAUAACACAGUACUGGUACUAGAUCAUUUACUGCAAUUGUCAGGCUAAAUGGGACAUUGGUGAGGCUCAAUUAUCAACAGACGUUACACAUUUUAUUUGACUUCUUCAGUGCCAAAGAAUUCGAAUUUUCCUUAGCUUUUUAAAUUACAAAUGGUGACUGUUUUAAACUGAUUUCCUUUCUUAGAUAUUUUAUACAGUGCAAUUUGAUGUAAGUUUACUCAGAAAUAGAGGCAUUUUCUAAAGGCAUUUAUUGAGUGUCCAAUAUUUCUUAUUCAUGGUUAUUUAGAAAUUCCAACCUUCCCGUAUUGCUUCCAUGUUUAACCAGCACCUUAACAACUUGUUUUAGAGCAAGGAGAAUGCACCAUUUCAUUGUGAAGGGAACUUUUGCACCAUUCCAUUGUACCACAGUGCCACUUAGGGGUUCUACAAUGGGAAAACAAGAAAGGAAAUACUCAGAGCUCAGAGUUCAGCUCUGUGAUGAAACUGAAAGUAGAUGCAGAGAAUUAACCGCUGAUAGGCCUAUGCCGAAAAGCUCUUCCAGUACUGGUUUAUGCAUGUGUACCUCAUCACUGUGUUCAGUGGGGCUUACAACCAGUUCCAGGCAAAUGUCUAUAAAAUUGCAGGCUUUUUAUCUUUUUAACAUUCUUUUAUCUCACAGAAAUGCCUUCAGCACUGCUUUCCUUGGAGGAGACUUUAGUCUGAGUCCCAUGUCUAGGAGACUUACUUUUUAAUAUUAUGGCCAACCCUGUCAAAUGAUUCACAUGCUUUUUAUACUUCUGAAAUGUCCAAAGGAAACUAAUGAUGGCAAUUGCAUGAGACAGAUGUGGAUUGCAGAUACAGUAUGGAUGAAACUCCUCCUCAUAUGUUAGCAUGAAUGUGCAACUUAAGUGGAAAUGCUGCCAGUGUGUAUAUCCUGCCAUCAAUUUUUUAAACUGCUCUUGCUCCAGGUCAGUAUGUGAAGCAUCAUGGUACAGGAAUACAAAUUAUCCUUCUGAAAGAAGUAAUUACAUAUUUAUUACAAUAGAUGGAAUGAGCUGCCAGGGCUCAACCUGGACACCUGUAUGUGGUUGCUCCACAUGGUUGAGCCACUGAGCGGCAUGUUUGGAGCAUCUGCCUAGGCACUUUGUAGGCCCAGCACGGAUGCAAUUUGUUCAAGCAGGCAAGAAGGGAUAUAUGGCCACUCCCUCGGCCAGUUAAGCCUUUCUUAAGCAUCAAGAUCUUCAAAGUUGUGAUGAAUUCCUGUAUCCUUUAGUUCUUGCUUGCUCCUUGGGCCAGCCUUCUGGCUUGUCUGUUUGUCCUGAAUUUCUCUUGCCCCUGACUCCUGGCAUCCUUCUUGAUUGUGCUUCCUAGUUUGUCUCUUGACUCUGACCUACUUUUUGGUCUUGAUUCCUCUUUGGGUCUGAUGGCUCCUGCUUCCCAGUUCAUCUUGCUGCUCACAACCCAGCCCUAGAUGAUUUACUUCAAGGCUUGCAGCAGAUGACAUCAAUUUCAAAGUAAAGUAGAAGCAAGAUGUAACAACUCUAACCAUAUCCCAGUGAAACUGAAGAGCUUCCAAAGCAUGCUUGGGCUGAAGCUUUGGGGAACCUCCAGGGGAAGAAAUUCCAUGCUGGUGGUGCAGUUGACAAGUAUUUUUUUAAACAUGUCAAAUGGCAAACAUAAUUGUCAGCAUUUGUAGUUCUUAUUAUCCAGGACAGUCUUUUAAAAAUGAGCCAAAUGUCUUUCCUAAUUGACUGUAAAGAAUGAUAAAAUAAUGCAGUUAUAUUCUGUGGGGUACUUCCAUGUUGCACACACCUGGGCUGAAAAAACAAACAGGAAAAUUUAUUGUGGAAUGAUGAGUCAGCUGGACUGUAUUUUCUGCAUCAUAUUGAGUUAUGCUAAUCUUAUGUCAAAGCAAUUUUUCAAAAAGAUAGAAAGAUUUAGAAAAGAAUAAUUCCCCAUCCAAAAGAAUAAAGCAGGCAUUUCAAGCACCAUUGCAUGGUUGGGAAGAGACACCUGCUGGACACAAGUACUCUCCACACACCAACCUCACAGGUUCUUUUUAGAGAAUAGUGUUUGCUAAAACCAAAAGGAGAUAAGUUGUGCCACCAAGUGGCCCAAAAAUGAAUUUCACAUACAUUAAAAUUUCUCAGUCCUGUAAUUAACAAUGGAUUGCACUGAUGAAAUAGCUGUGUUGAUUGGAGAACCACUUGAAAUCUGCAAAAAGCUCCUGAACUUUUUAGUUUAGUAAAUAACAUGUAAGCAAAUUCUGGGACACUGAGCAUCUUUUUCCUUGAUGUUUUUUAAACCUUGCUUAGGAUUGCCCCUUUAAGGUUUCUGCAUUGAAUUUUCCAUGGUUUGACAUUUUACUAUACAUAUUACUGGGUGCAAAUUACUGUGAGGUUCUCCAGCUUGAAACCCAUUAGAUAUGAAAGAAACAGCAUGACAGCACAAAUGUGAAUUGUGCCUACUUAUUUGCCGGGUAUAAGCAUAUCUGUUCCAGAUAGUGCUUUUCAUCUUCUGACUUAGUCUUGUUCACUCUUGACUCCUCCAUUUGUACAUUUUGAGCUACAUAUCCCUUUCACGGUUUGCUCAUAACACUAUAAGGUGAGAACAAUUUUAAUGAUUUAUCUUAGACUUUUAAUGAACAACAGUGAGGCUCCAGGCUUCCCAGCUAAUUUUUCUUGGGAGCCCUAGUCUGGCCAUGGCCUGGAGUUUCUACAUCUGAAAUGUUUCUUUCAGACCUGUGGCAAAAAAAUAUCUCCAGGCAAAAACUCAAUGAGGUUCCAUGCAAUUUGCCUCUUGCUUAGAUGGUAACUUGGUUGGACUAGCCCUGGACAUUUUGUUUCCUGGAGGACAAGAAACAGAAGACAGAGGAUGGGAAUAAAUGGCAGGAGAAAGGUCACCAUUGGAUUCUGUAUAUUGGGACCAGUGCUUUUCAGCCUAUUUAUGAAUGACUUGGAAUUAGUAGUAAAUAGUGAGGUGGCCACAUCUGCCUAUGAUAGUAAACUUUUUAGGGCAGUGAAAGCCAAAAGAGAUUGUGAGGAGCUACAAAGGGAUCUCUCCAGUCUGGGAGAAUGGGUAUCACAAUGGCAAAUGCAGUUCAAUAGAAGCAGUGUAGAGCAAUGCACACUGGGACAAAGAGUUCCAACUUCAAUUAUACAUUGAUGGGAACUGAACUAGUAGUGAGUGAGCAAGAGAGGAAUCUUGGGUAGUAGCGGACAGCUUGAUGAAAAUGUUGGCCCAGUGCUUCACAGUGCUACUGUGAAGAAGGCAAACUCCAUGCUAGGUACAAUUAGGAACAGAAUAAACAGAAUUGCCAAAAUAUUACUUCCUUUUCACAAAUCGUUGCUGCAACCAAAAAGUUGGAAAAAUGCAGAGAAGGGCAAAUUUCACUAUGAGAUGUGGCUACAACUGAGACUGUUCAGCUUUGAAAAAAGGCGAAGGGGAAACACGAUAGAGGUGUUUAAAGUAAUGUAUAGUGCAGAUAAAGCGGAGAGGGAGACUUUUGUUUCCUCUUGCAUAACUCUUGAACCCAAGGUCAUCCCAUGAAGCUGAUUGGUGGCAAGUUUAGCACAGAAAAAAAGGAAGUAAUUCUCCACACAGCUUAUAUAAACUAUGAAAUUUGCUACCACAGGAAGUGGUGAUGGCAACCAAUCCAGAUGGCUUUAAAAAAAAAAAAGGAUUGGACAGAUUCAAGAGGGAGGGGGCUAUUGGUGCUUACUAGUCUUUCUGGCUAUAUGCUGCCUACCUUACCAUAGGUAACACCCCUACAUACACCAGUUGCUGAGGAGUUUGGGCAGGUAGAGGUCUUACACCCAUCCUACUUGAGGGCUCCUGUGAGCAGCUUAAUUGUCACAAUGUGUAUGGAGUACUAGAUUAGAUUGACCUUUGGUUGAAUGUAGCAUGAAAAGCAUGGCCUUUCUUAUGUUCUUAUAAGUAAUAUUGCCAUUCAACAGUUAGCCCCUGAAUGGCAGACUGAACAGGCAAGCACCAAAGUAACCUGAUCACAACCUUCCAUCCUAUGUUGCAAUGUAUUGCAUUUCUACUUAAUAAUGAUAAUGAAAAAUUGUAACUAUACAUUUAAAUUAGCCUAUACAAUUUUUUGUGAAUAGCUGCCAUAUUCUGGCAUCUUUUUUGAUGUUUCAUAAGUGUCCACCCUACUUCAAAAAGCACUGGCAGGAAGAAUGGAAGGGGGGGCAGUGGCAGGAAGAGGGGAGCUGAACAUGGCUACUUGACUCACUUCUAAGGCAGGGAUGGGCAGAAAAUAGAUCUCUAGAUGUUUGGGACAGUGACAUCCAGCUUUCCUAAUGCUUGGCUAUGCUGGCAGGAGCUUCUGGAAGCUAGCCCAAAACAUCUGGAUAUCUUUUCUUCCUGCCUCCGCUCUAAGGAAGCCAGUGCCUGUAGAAUAGCUCUUGACUCCCCCACCCAAAGGUCUUUCCUGCAUUUUGCUGUGGAAUUUUGCUCAAACAAGAUGGGAACUGCUGUUUCUCAGUUUGGCUAACCUGCUGUCUCCUAGAACUGUCUACUGGUGUGGGAAUACCAUUCCUGCAUACUAUCUCUUCCAGGGGUGAUGGGUAUCUUAAGUAAAAUAUUCAUUCAAUAUCAAACCUCACUGAAAGGAAUCAGUGCAAACCAGGAAUACAAAUAAAUGUUAAGAGUAAAUGAUCACUCCUUUGAGAAGUGAAAUUCCUGAAUUGAAAUGUGUCUGCUCUCCCCCUUCUUUUAUAAGACUCCUGCUGCAUUUGGAUAACAAAUAUUGCAUUCCUUUUUAGAUUGAACAGGAAUGGAGCCUCUUCUAGCAUGUUAGAGUCCAUCAGUUAUAAACAUGCUAGCUCUAAAAUCCAAUCAGAUGUAUUUCAUUUUUAAUGAGCAAGCCAAAUGCUUUAAAGGCUGCAGCAGAGGUACAUGGGGAAGGGGGUGGUGUGGGGAGGCUGAACUCCAAGAUCUAUGGGAUGGGAAAAUUCAGAGCACACUGCAUCUAGUCCCUCAUAAGUGUAAAUGGCUGGGAAGCAAAACAGUGGCAGAACAACAUAACAUUAUGGUGAGUAUUCAAACAAUAUUUUGCAUAAUUUGCUGGAGAACAUUCCAGUUGGAGGCCUUGGCAGAUCAUCAGGGAUAGUGCCAAUCAUCUGGAUGCAGAGCGUGGAGGAUUCGGUAAUUCAGUAAUCCAGAUUUAAUCAUCCAAUUCUCUGUUUGGCACUAGUGCUGCCAGUGCUGUGUGUAGAACUAGUGCCAAUUCCUUAUCCACUUAGGGAUAUACAAAAGUGAUCUUGCUUCUCUUAUGCCCCCAGCAUAAGUUGGAAUAAAGCUAAGGGAAUGCUUUCACUUGCAACAGGAAUCCCUGAAAAAUGAUAGAAGUUUGGUCCCUGAGUUUCAUUCCAGCAGUGAAAAGUCUUCUUGGGGUACCAAAAUGUCUGCUUUAUUGACCAGUUAAUUAUGCAGUCAUAAGAAGACAUACAGGCCAGCACUUGGCAGAGGUCCUUUCUCUAUGGAGGAAGGUGAUCUUCAUAGUUCUUCCUUCCCCCUGAGUCACCCUGAAAAGCUGCUCUGGAGGACUGGCUAGCAGAUCCUGUGGUGCAGGCAGAUGUGACAGAGUGGGGAGGAGAAAUCAGCAAAAAUUCCACAAUUGUUGUUUUCUUUCAACAGGGAGCUUCCAGUGCCCUCAAUGAACAGAAUAAGCAAUUCUGUAAUGGCCAGCCUGAAUCCAGUACCUAGGGUGCUUGUGGCUUUACAAUUCAACACAUCAUUUUUCAAAUCAUGAGACAUUAAUCUAGAAGCAGAAUGGGAUUAAUAGUGUGGAGUAACACUAUCAAGUUGCUACCUGAUAGAAUUUAUUAAACCUCCAAAUUAAUAAGAUAAGAAAGACUGUGAUAUGGAAACAUCCAGGAAGAAAUUUCCAUAGAUUUGGCAAUGAAACCUGAAGCUUAACAGUUUUUUAAAAGUGUUUGUCCUUUCUAUUGUACAGCAUCAUUAAUAUCUGUGCCCAUUUAUGUAUCUAUGAUUAGGACUGCCAACUUUUGUUUUGCUUCACUAGCACUAUUUAUGUGCUCAUAAAUUUAAUAAAUUUAACCCUAACCCAUUCCCACCCUGUUGCAGGAUUAAAGUGUUUGUUUAAAAAAUAGCAGCCCCAAAUUGUGAUAGUAGCUCAUUAGGGGGUGGGCAAAAUCCUAAAACGGUAUUUGUCUGUACAGCAAGACGUAUUCAAAGCCAAAAGUUGAGCCUAAAGUAUACAUUCUUGUGUGUGUUAUUUCCAAUUGCAUUUCCAAUUAAUAAGGAUCUGUUUUCACUCAUUACACUACGCAAGUAGAUGAGAUUGUGCAUUCAUGCAUAGAGGUUUCAUGUGACCAUGACAUCUCAUGAUCCAUAUCUAAAUGCUAUAAAAUUGAUUUUCUGUUAAUCCUACGUGAGUGAAAGCUUCUUAAAAAUACACAAGAACUUUAGAAUCACAAUGGGAACAAAUUAAAUAAUGUAGAUUUGUAAUGUGGGAAAUUGAAAAAAGUUAUAUUACUUAUAUUUAUUUUUAAUGGGGUUGGCCACACUUCAGUACAGAGUGAGGCAGACUGAAGCUCAUGAAGGUAUCUAAUUACAUGGGUGGCAUAAUGUUUUUAUGAAGAACUGAAAAUGUGCACUAGAUUAUUGUAACUUAGUUUGGGAUGAAUGUGUGUGCAUAGGUAGCUAACAGUUUUAUUUGGCCACAAUAAAUGUGAAUAUUUGUUAACAAUGUCAUGAUAAAAACACUGUUAAACAAUAGUAACAGGCAGAUCCUGGAAGUGUGAGAGCUCACAAACCCCAAACCCUGGCAUUCAUCAGAAACUUAUCAAAGAAUUUUGAAAGAGCAGAUCAGUAGUAGUUAACAAGCUUCUUUGAAAGACAUCUUGUUUCCUGUUAUGACAUUCUUUUACAAUCUAUAUUCAUACAGAACUGUUGGUGCACGUUCUGAAGCAUAUUGAUCUCUAUCUUUGCAUAUGAUUAAGGCCUGUAUGGGAUACCCCAUAUAAACUGAGUGAGUACUAAAAUGUACUUUGCUGUGUGCAUGUGUUCUUUGGUAGAAAAGCAAUUUAGAAAGGGUUCCUUGAAAUACCUUGCAGAAGUAUUAACCCUGCUCCCCUCCACAUUUUCUUGUAUUACAUCUUGGAACUGUAAAUAAUUGGCCUGGCAUUGUUACCAGUUGCUGUACACAAGAUAUUCAACAAAAUAUUUUUAUUGUGGCACAACAUUUAAGCAAACAAACAAACAAAAAAAACCUGGCAUGUGUGGGUUGUAUAACUAUUCUCCCCUUCAGUUAAUACAGUAAGCAGGAGAAGAAAAGAAAGAACAGUGAGUUGGAUUGACUCCUUAAAGGAAGCUACAGCCUUGACUGCAGAACAGUUAGGAUAUUUUGGAGAGCUUUCACUCAUUGGGUCACCAUAAGUCAGAGGUAACCUGAUUGUAUAUAACAGCAACAACAGCAUAGAAACUACUUGAGUAAGUUUCUAUUAGCUUUGUGCUCCAUUGUGGAUCCUGCAGCGCUUGCCUAUUCUUCCUGGCAAAACUGAUCCUCUUCUGUCAGGUUGGAUGGCAGCCAUUCGUGAACAGCUGCUUUCAAGCCUUGCCACAGAUUCUCAAUUAGAGUGAGGUCUGGGUUUUGACCAUUCAGUUCAAAGACAUUCAGAUUCCUGUUUUGAAACCAUUUUAGUGUUACUUGGGCUGUGUGUUUAGCAUUGUCCUGAUAGAAUACUAACCUCCACCCCCAUCCUAGGUCCCUUGUAGACUGAAACAGGUUUUCCUCUAGAAUUGUCCUGUAUUUGGCAUUAUCCACCAGGCUCAUCCUGACCAGUUUCUCAGUCUCUGAUAAGGGAAAGCUGCUAUCAUCACCAUGCUUUUUGUGGAGAUGGGGUUCUCAGAUCAAUGAGCACUGCUGGCUUUGAGCCACACACAGUGUUUUGUAGCAGGGCCAGAAAGUUCUAUGUUGGUCUCAUCAGACCAGAGAACUUUUGUCCCUGAGUUAGUUCCCACAAGACUUUUUGCAACCUACAAACAGACCUUGAAAAGUGCUUGUUUCAGCAAUAGGUUGUUGUGGGGUUUUUUGCCAGCUUUGUGGAACAUCUUGUUGAUUAAUGGUUGGUUUCUUCCAUCCCAACUUCGGAGGUCUCCAGUUCCUUCAGAGUUACCAUUGCUAUCUUGGUUAUUUCUGUGACUGAUUAUCUCCUUUCUUAGUCACCAAGUUUUGAAGGACAGCCUUCUCUAGGAAGUUGUGCUUGAGCCAUAGUCUUUUCAUUUUGCAGCAACAGAUUUAACAGUGCUCUGGAGGAUGUUCAUAAUUUGGAUGUGUUUGUUCGUUUUUUAUAAGCCAACCCUGAUUGGUGCUUCUGCACAACUUUAUUCCAGAGUUGUAUUGACAGCUGCUUGAUGCUGCUUUUUAGAUGUCCUUUCCAACAAACUGGGAUAUUCCAGAAAUGAGUGUAUUUAAUCAGAGAUCAUAUGGCACUGGAAUUGCCACAGGUGGGCUCCUUUCAACUCUCUAUUCUGACUUCUGAGACAGUGGGUUGCACCAGAAUUUAUUUAGAUAUUUCACAGUAUAGUGGGUAAAUACUUAUGCAAGCAAGAAGCAUCAGUUUAUUUCACAAUAAAAAUAUUUACAGUUUCACAGUUUUGAGUAUCUUGUGUACAACAUAACAAUUAUAUAUAUAUAUAUAAUCAUAUAUUGAUGAAAUGAUGUAUACAUCAAGUGGUCAAUCCAUUUCAAUUUCAGGUUGUAACAAAAUGUGGAAAAGUCAAGGAAUCUAGGAGAAAAUACUUCUGCAAUGCAAUGUAACUUGACAAGCAUUGUUAUCAAGAACUGACAGCAAACCUCGGACAUUGUCAUCAUGUGUAAUCCUGGCAUGCAGGUAGACCCUGUGUAGUAGGUUCCUGCAAAUGGAAAGCUGCAUAUUGAAGAAAAUAGCUUGGAGUGAUAGUUUGUAAAUUCACUGAUGGAGUUAUUUUGUUCAGCCGUAGGAAUACCAUAGAGGCUGUUUUCAUGUGGAUAAUGCUUGUUUUUAUGCAAUUACUGCUUCCUAAUUGUUAGAACUACCCAGUGGCAGGCAGAUUUGAUUAUUAUGUUCUUAGUUCAAUAGAAUAAGAAGGCAGACACUCCUACAAUUCUUUGUAAUUGUUUGUAACAACAGGGCAGCUUCUUUGUAUUUCUCAUGCUGCUACCAGUUUGGUAUACUUAGUUGUCACCUGUAUUGAAGGGAAUUUCAGAGACAUUUCUCUAUCUAGUGUAUUAGCUUCCUUCUCCAGUUGGAUUAGAUUAAGGCACCUUUAUUUGCAAUUACACACAGUCAAACUAAGAUUUCUCUGUAACAGUAAGGAUGUUUACAGAGCCACCUCGAUUGUACCGCUAAGCAUAUGCUAUAUAGGGCUGUAAUUUAUCAGGAAAAUUAUAAAUGUAAACUUACAACAAGUUAACAGUUCAUAGUACUGCAUAUUGGCAUUAAAUAUCUAUAACAUGCUACUCACUUUAUUAAUUAAUUUGAAUAUCUUAUACAGGAUAUACAAAACCCAUGUACCCAAUCUAGACCCACCUAAUCUCAGUUAGGUUUCCCUGUAGGACCUUGCCUUCCUCUCUUAGCUACAUUCCUGAGGCUUUAACUGAUGUUUUCCACCUUCUGGGGAGUUCCUCUGAACAUACUUCUAAAGGCUGAAAUUCCUCUCAUAAGGCUUAGUUACCAGCAGUAAGAGCUUUGAACUAAACUAUACUGGUAUUUUUCGCAUUGUAACCCAACCCACCAUCAGAACGUGGCCCUUUAGAAUGAAAUUCAGUCUUCAGACAGACUGAUGAUCUGUGUCUCCACAGGCUCUGUUUGCCCACAGUGCAAGAUAUUCCAGUGGGAGAAUUUUGACUUGCAGGGUGUUUAUCAAUAUGACACAAAACCUCUGGGAAGAACUGUGAAAAUAUCAAAAGCUUCUGAUAAAACUUCUUUUUAAUGUGGUAUAUUUUCUAUUUCCUCUGAUAAUUAGAACAAUAUUUAGAAUGUUUGAAAGUCCCUUUGUGAACAAUAUAGGCUCUGUGAGAAAUGAAAAUCAAUUUUGGUUGGAGAAAGCCCUCCCAUCAAUUUUAGGAUAUUAUAUGGACUAGAAACUGAUACUAGGAUACUACAUAGAAUUUUCAGUUUCUUAAGCAUUGCAUGAUACCAUAUCAGCUCGCAAAAAAGCAAAAAACCAUGUUGAAGCUACAUAUUUAUUUCUCAAUGAAGUGUGAAUUAUAAACCUACUAGUGUAACUACUGUUCCACCAGUGGGUGUCUCACAAUUGCUCCACUGGACAAGCAGAAGUGAAAGAUUGAUAUGCUAAGAAUAUAUGUGCAAUUAGACUGCAUCCAGGAAGUUGUUAAAAAUUGAUCAGCCCUACUUCUUACUGGCUGUCUUUCCUGAAAUCCAUUUCUAGACAACAAAUAAUUCUUGCUUCACACCUGUAUUCCAGAGUAAUUAUUGAAAACCAUUUUUACUGAUACUUUACAUUACAAAGACACAUUCAUACCCAAGAACCUAUUUCACUUGUGGUUCAUGCAUGAAUUCCUCUGCUAAUUAUGCAAGUGUAUCUUUAGAAAGAUUGUGUCAAUGAAGUUGGAUUACACUUUUUUGAGGACUGUAGCCAGGGAUAAGUGGACACCCUGAAGGUCCCCAGUAACAUAUACUCUUCUACCAGAGAAACACUAAAAAUGCUAUUUACAUAGCUGCACUCCUCUUUUUCCUUCUCCUUCUCCAGCAAUGUUUCCCCUUCCAUUUCUUCCUUCUUCCCCUGGAGAUCUUGGGCAUCAUGGGAUGGCAUACACAGGAAAAUUGUUAAGACCUGAUCACUCCUAGAAUCUUCUUUAUCCUCUGCUUUCUUUUCUAGGCUAGAAUCUAAAAGAAGAAGUGGACACAGAAUUGCUUUCUCCAGCAGCAUCAAACAGUGAAGGGAAGUAAUUAGUAUCAGUAUUACAUUGCAUUUAACCCUGCCUUUCUUUUGGAAACCCAAAACAUCUUGCAAGGUUUUCCUGCUUUCCAUUUCAUUUCCAUUUCCAAGUUUCCAUUUCACAACAACAAACUGUGGAAUUGGUUAGGUUGAGAGAGAGAGACUGGCCCAAGGCUUCAUGGCUGGACUUCAUGGCUGGGUGGGGACCAGAAGCCAGAUCCCCAAGGUCCAGUCCAAUACUCUUAGCACUGUGGCACACUAUGAUUCUGAGAGCCAUAUGUUCCUCAUCUUGGACAGCUGCCCAGAAUGAUUACCACCAUGUAACAGCUGGCUAUGUCCUUGACAUUCCCUUACUAUUUUGAGGAAUUGAUCAGACUCAGAAAAAGACAGUCUGUCAUUUUUUGUAAGAAACAUACUCCCCUUGUGUAAAGGGCAGUGCAGUCAGAAGAGACAAAGCACAGUCCAGAAUCUUUACUACUUCAACCUGGGAAAAAGAAUUCACUGGGGAAAUCUGUAGAUGUCAAAUAACUAAAUGCAAGUCAAGAAGACAACAACAUAUGUUUUUCAAUUGACCCCUUGCAAUUCUGGUGCCUUUGAGAAACAGUGGUUCAGCUAAAGACUGAGAGAAGAGGAGACCCUGUAUUAGCUGUUUGCAGUGCUUUUUUAUUUUUUAUUUUUUAAAAAUGGUGCCGGAACUCACAUCUUGUUCAUCUUUUAUUUAGGGUUUUUUUAGGGUAAUCUU